CGGACCCCCAGGUUCGAGGGACCGGAAACAAAGCAAACCCCGCGUCUCCAUGGGACAGCGUCACUGUCACGCGGUCCGAGGAGCAGAGCAAGCUGUGGGUCAGUGGAUGCUAAACCCCCCAGGCCCAGCUCUGCACGGCGCCUGCGUGGCCUCUCUUCAAACCCCUCUGCAGAAGGGGCCCCACCGCCCGCCCCGGCCCCCCAUUCCAUCUGCUCCGGCUGUCACUGAGUCCUCUCCUGUGCCAGGGCUCCAAGGACAGGCUCUGUUUCUCCCAGCUGUGACUUCAAAUGGCACCGAAGGGACCUGCCCAAGAGUCAGGGCUUCCUGUGGCGCGUCUGAACCCAGAGGGCUUGCUAGAGACUAGGGCCUGGGCUCACCCCAGAGCUUCUGACCGCAGGUCUCUGGAAAGAUCUGAGAACCAGCCUCUCUAACCAGCUCUCAGGCUCCUCUGACCAUCAGGGGUUGUGAUCUUGACCACGUCCCCGGAGAGAGGGCGCCAUUAAACCGGACGAACCGUGGCACCUAGUAACCCACCUUGGCCCAAUUUACUUCCUUUGUCCCUGCCCAAAGAUAAAGCGUUCUGUAAAACAAUGAGUUCGUGUCUCUGAGAAUGCCUUCGCCUCUUUCUGCGGGCUGGGGAGCGCCGGUUUUCACGCCCUGCUCUUGCAAAUGGAGUCAUUAAAGAAAGAGUAAACUUGCAUUAAUUGUCGAUGGCCUAUUAGUAGCUAUGUAGAUGUCCAUGCUGGCAAUGGGUGUGAAUUUCAUUAAUUUCUCCGUGCUUUGGGGCUUGGCUUGAACUCAAAGGCACUCCUUGAGUGAACUCUUGUAAAAGCUUUAAUUAACUCUUGCCGGUGUCAGUAUGUUUUAUCACCUCUGCGGCCCACAGCCUCCCCUGGUGUCCAAUUUACUCAGAUGUUCCAGCUGCCAGGAUGAAGGCUGGCGCGGUGCUCUGCCUCGGGGUGGAUUAAGUUGCUUUAUGGGCUCUGGCUGGAGGGGGAUCUCUCUCCUUCAGAAGCAAUGACGCACUGCUGCUCUUCCCUGGGGGGUAUCCCGAACUUGCGGUGGAACUUGCUGCAUCAGAAAUGGAGGGGCAUGGACACAUGACCUUGGAAUGGCCUCAAGGGCACAGACGUGGGGUCUAAAGUCUUGUAUUCAGGUCCAGACCAUCCCUUGGAAGAGGUGGAGUGGGGGCAGGGAUGUGGCCUCACGGAAGGCAGGUGAGGGGUGCCCCGGGCCCCAGGGGGGCAUAGCUGCUUACUCUGUUGUUUGGUGGGCUGGGGGUCCACGGCUGCUUGGCCCCCGAGGUUAUCGAGCUUCUAUGUUUCUUG